rnacentral:rRNA from 1 species
AUUCCAGCUCCAAUAGCGUAUAUUAAAGUUGUUGCAGUUAAAAAGCUCGUAGUUGGAUUUCUGAUUCGAGCGUCCGGUCCGCUUCUUUUAGGAGUGUGUACUUUGGAUGCUUGGGUCAUUUUUUGCGAGGACGUUUUUCUGUCAUUAGGUUGAUGGUUGAAUGGACUUGCAUCGUUUACUGUGAAAAAAUUAGAGUGUUUAAAGCAGGCGUUUGCUCAUUGAAUACUUCAGCAUGGAAUAAUAAGAUACGACCUUGGUGGUCUAUUUUGUUGGUUUGCACACCAGGGUAAUGAUUAAUAGGGACAGUUGGGGGUAUUCAUAUUUCAACGUCAGAGGUGAAAUUCUUGGAUCGUUGAAAGAUGAGCUUAGGCGAAAGCAUUUACCAAGGAUGUUUUCAUUA